rnacentral:rRNA from 1 species
AACGAACGCUGGCGGUGUGCCUAACACAUGCAAGUCGAACGAGUCCUUCGGGUCAGGUGGCGCUCGUGUGCGUUACGCGUUGGGACCUUCCCUUAGGUUCGGAAUAACUCCCCGCAAGGGGUCCUAAUACCGGAUAACAUCUUCGCCCCAACGAUUUAUCGCCUUUUGAUGUGCCCGCGUUGGCUUACCUCGUUGGUAGGGUACACGCCUACCAAGGCAACGAUCCAUAGCUGGUCUGUAAGGAUGCUCAGCCACACUUGGACUGAGACACGGCCCAGACUCCUACGGGAGGCAGCAGUGGGGAAUAUUGGACAAGGGGCGAAAGCCUGAUCCAGCAAUGCCGCGUGAGAGAUGAAGGCCUUAGGGUUGUAAAGCUCUGUUACCCGGGAUGAUAAUGACAGUACCGGGAGAAUAAGCUACGGCUAACUCCGUG